UACGGAGGGUGCAAGCGUUGUCCGGAAUCACUGGCGUAAAGGGCGCGUAGGCGGCCCGGUAAGUAGGGGGUGAAAUCCUGCGGCUUAACCGCAGGGCUGCCUUCUAAACUGUCGGGCUCGAGCCACGGUAGAGGCAGAUGGAUUCCCGGUGUAGCGGAUGGAAUGCGUAGAGGAUCGGGAAGACUCAGUGGCGAAGGCGGUCUGC
rnacentral:rRNA from 1 species